ACCUGGGUGGCUUAGUCCGUUAAGCGUCUGACUUCAGCUCAGGUCAUGGGUCUCACGGUUUGUGGGUUCGAGCCCCACGUUGGGCU
rnacentral:tRNA from 1 species